rnacentral:rRNA from 1 species
CCGAGUGCUUGCACUCAACUGGAAAGAGGAGUGGCGGACGGGUGAGUAACACGUGGGUAACCUACCCAUCAGAGGGGGAUAACACUUGGAAACAGGUGCUAAUACCGCAUAACAGUUUAUGCCGCAUGGGAUAAGAGUGAAAGGCGCUUUCGGGUGUCGCUGAUGGAUGGACCCGCGGUGCAUUANCUAGUUGGUGAGGUAACGGCUCACCAAGGCCACGAUGCAUAGCCGACCUGAGAGGGUGAUCGGCCACACUGGGACUGAGACACGGCCCAGACUCCUACGGGAGGCAGCAGUAGGGAAUCUUCGGCAAUGGACGAAAGUCUGACCGAGCAACGCCGCGUGAGUGAAGAAGGUUUUCGGAUCGUAAAACUCUGUUGUUAGAGAAGAACAAGGACGUUAGUAACUGAACGUCCCCUGACGGUAUCUAACCAGGAAAGCCACGGCUAACUACGUGCCAGCAGCCGCGGUAAUACGUAGGUGGCAAGCGUUGUCCGGAUUUAUUGGGCGUAAAGCGAGCGCAGGCGGUUUCUUAAGUCUGAUGUGA